GAGUUUUCUCUUGUGAGCCUGGGAUGGGGGUGAGAGAAGGAAUGUUGCUUAGAUUGGGACUGAACCUUUAGCUGAUUUAAAAAAUGACAAUAAUAACAAAAAGCUGAUAAUACUGGUGAACAGAAAAAGAACAUGUCUCUAUGAAUCACUGUAUGAAGAAGAGGUGUGUAGAAACCAGGCAGACAAUUCAGGUCUAACGUUUGACGCCUGAUUGUUAGGAAGAAUACGCACUAAGGCAACGCCGCUGUUGCCCAGGAGAGGGCAGUCACAGAUAUCCGCAGCGUUCAGAGGCGCUCGUAGGGAACUGCGCGCACAGCGAAAGGGAUCGUCUGAAAACCGUGAGCAUCACUCGCGUUUUUAUGGCCUUACAGACGCCAGUGCUGCUCCGACUGACUUCAAACCUGUCCUCGGACCUUAUGAACCAUCGGGCUGAGGUCGGAAACCACCCUUAAUGCUCCAGCCGAAGUUUUUACAGCCUCCUAAACAAAGACCUAACUGGCUUAUCGGGCAGAUGGGAGGUACGGAAGUACUACAUAAAGCAGAAUUUAGAGAGGCACAGCAUAAACAAGUGGUGGCACAUGCUGAAGGUUGAGUGCAGCGAUGUGAGAUUAGAGAGGAGAGGAACCAGCUGGCCAUAUGGAGGGAGACUUGGGAGAGCUGAGGCCUGUCAGCAGGUCCACGGGCACCGGUACUGACAUCCAUCAGAAGAGCAGAUCUUCCUAUUGGCACUGGUGGUGAAGAUAUCCUCCAGGACGGACAAAUGUGGAUGCAGGAGAAAGCCACAUCCUGAAGAUGGGGGUAGAUGACCACCGAAAAUAUUUGCCAGGGGUGCUGAGGAGCAGCUGAAUGUUUUGGAGCAUCAGCCACAACCAGGGUACCUGUGCUGGGGUGUACAUGUGUAUUUCAGAUUUCCUGGCCAUAAAUGUAGAUACCACAUAAUGCUGAGGGUCAAAUUCAGUCCUGGCAUAGCUUCAGUGAAAUCGGAUCAUCUGCCUUUGGGUUGCUGGUGCUGCAUGGUGUUUAAUUUAGAUCAUAUUCAGUCUGAAUUAGUGCUUGCUUCACCCAAGCAAGGCAGGCUUUGCAAAUGGGUUUUCUCUUCACCUCACUUCAUGUGUGUCCUCGUGCAUCUUCUUCCAUCUUUGAGAAACUGCUCUCUUUAGUUUUAUUGUAUCUAAGGGAGAUUUUCAUCAGCAGAGAGAAGAAUGUGGAUUGCAUCUCUGCAAGGGAGCACCAAAAGAAAAAUUCUGCCAAGAGAAGCCGUAGCAGAGAGCACUGUUGAUGUAGAUAAAAAGUCUGCCCUGAGGACACCUUGUCAUAUGGAGCCUCUUGUGCCAUUAAUUACAAUUCUGAGGUGCAGAUGAAAUAUGGAUGUGAUAGAAGAGGUUUGCUUUGUAAUGUGUUGCCGGAUAAUAUUUUUAAAGAGACAACAUUGUGCCAAGUCUUCAGCUCAUACAUAAAAGUCUUUCUUUUCUUGUUGCAAGAAAAGACUCCUGACAUCUCAGUCCCAAAGUACUGAUGGGUACUGCUCUGGUUACAUUUCCAAAAGCAGGUUGUUCCAAAGGGUCCUACAGGAAGGGCUGCAACACAGAUGUUAUUCCCACAGGAGUUCUUUCUUCCUCCUUGCCAUCUUCAUCAGACCUGUCUUGGCUGACAUCUUCAUUGCUGAUGAGCAGAAGGAAGUAAAAUGCUAAUGACUUUCCUAGAAGAUGAUAAUAAAAUAGGUAUGUACCUGCUGGUUAGGACAUAAAAGGACAGCAUGAAGGGAAGUAGCCAGGUUAGAAACACAGGCAGAAAAUAACACAAGGAGAUUUGCCUUGGGAAAAAUGCAACCAAAUGCACUUGGUGGCAACACAGCUUGGAAGAGGUGGUCAGCAGGCUGGGCAGGGAAGGGAUGGUGUGAGCAACAAGAGCAAGGUGUGACGGUAGGUGGCACAUCAGAUGUGUGCUUGCAGUGUGACUGCAACCUAAUGUAGGGAACCUGCUUUGGCAGAGAGGCUGUACUCAGAGGCCUCCAGAGGUCCCUUCCAAAUCUUACAGCUCUGUGAUUCUGUGGUAUGCUCUCUGUGCCCACAUUGCUUCCAGAACUGUGAAAACAAUCCCAGAUUAAUUUGUUAGAGAAUUACCAUUCAAGUGAAAAUCCAUACAAACUAGAAAAUAAUACUGGGAAGAAUUUUACUUCAACUCUGGUCAGUAUGUUGUACACAAUAUCAAAACUGUAACAAGACCCUCGAUGAAACACAUGGAAGUACUAAAUACAGAAGUAGCCAAGAGCUCAGUGGGGACAGGAAUUCCAAUAAUACACAGAGCAAAAACAAGCAUCGUAAAGCAGCUCUGAACUAGGAUGGAUUACAAAGGGAAACUUUGCUAUCUAUGGCUUACAGAGGGAAACUGAGGCACAGAAAUUUAAUCUCUUGUUUAGUGUCAGGGAAGAAAUCUCUGUCAGAGCCAUGAACUAAACUUAGCCUGCUGGGUCUGCAUUCCUGUCCCGAGCACCACCGAGCAAUAAAUAGCAGGGAGCAGGAAAAUGGAAAGAAGCCAUGAGAGGAGCUGAGUCUCUGCUCUGAGGUCUCUGGUGGCAGGGCAGGUUGGUGAAACAGCUGGGCAGCAGGGAUUGCAGCAAGAGCUGUGCCUCCCCAUCCUGAGCAGUGUGGAGGGCUAGCAAAUGGAAAUGCGGAAGGUGAAAUUUUUUUUGUCCUCCCUUUGUGCCCUGUCUUUCUGGUUGCGGUAACACCAGCUUGCCCCUUGGGUUAUCCAUCACAACCCCAGCACAUCACGGUGGUCACCCACCAUCCUCUCCCCCUGGCAGCCACUAAUCUCAAAUCCGUGGCCCCAUUACCCAUCCAUGUGGGAUUAAGGUGCUGCUUGUGCUGCAUGGCCACGCACACGGGCUGAUGGAAACCCCCUUAUGCUAACAGCCUUUCUCUGGUGCAGCAGUCUUCAACCAGGCAAAUCUCAUCCCCAUUCUGAGCCACUACUGUCUUCUGAAAGCUGUAGGAUCUUGGAACCAGCCAGCAGGUGUGGGACUUAUUACAGAAGGGACUGUGCAAGUCAUGUUACUUGAGGAAACUGAGAUGAAAAGGGACAUUAAGCUGCAGGAAAGCACAAAGCCAAGCACUUUCCUCAGACCGUGGUGUUGAGGUUCCAGGGGCUCUCAGAGGAAGCAGGUGUUUGGGGAUGCUGUGCCCAUGGGGAGACAAGAAAGCCAUAACAUUUGGGAACUGAGCAGCUGUUUCUGAAUGCAUGCAUACUGAAAGGAAAACUGCUUGGCUUACUCUUCCUUCCCUCUGAGGAAAAACUCCAAACAGAAAUACGAUUGCCUCACUGCACUUUGUAAAAAAAAAAUAAAUAAAUAAAUAAAUAAAAAUAAUAAAAAAAAAAAAGCAACUUGACAUUUGACCAUAUAUGUUCUACUAAGGGACAUGGUUUAAAGGGGAAAUACUGGUGCUGGGUGUGCAGUUGGAGUGGAGGAUCUUGGAGGUCUUUUCCAACCUCAGUGAUUCUAUGAUUCUGUGAUUCAUAAGUGGUGUUUCCUUAGAUGUGGGCUCUGCUGUGAGACAGAUUGCUCUUGGGCCUCUGCUACUUUCCUAACUAAAAGAUCAAUGAUGGAUUAAAUUUCAGUUCUGCAGCCUUUGUAUUUCUUUGAUCUAUUCCU